rnacentral:misc_RNA from 1 species
GUGAAUCAUCGAAUUUUUGAACGCAAAUUGCACUCUCUUCUGAUAGUAUGGCUGUUUGAGGGUGAGCCUAAAAAAAAAUCGACAUAUUCGCUGUUUGGCGGUUACAUUCCUCGGCAAUUGGGUCAUCUUAACCCUUUGGGUUUUAAGCGCCUUAAAAUUUUCUUUACUAUUCCACGAACGUUUCUAAGAUUUACUU